GUGGGGAAUAUUGCGCAAUGGGCGAAAGCCUGACGCAGCAACGCCGCGUGGGUGAUGAAGGCCUUCGGGUUGUAAAGCCCUGUCAGGUGGAACGAAUCUCCCGCGAGCGAAUAACUCGGGGGAAUGACGGUACCACCAGAGGAAGCCCCGGCAAACUACGUGCCAGCAGCCGCGGUAAUACGUAGGGGGCGAGCGUUGUUCGGAAUUACUGGGCGUAAAGAGCGCGUAGGCGGUCAAAUAAGUCAGGCGUGAAAUCCCUCAGCUUAACUGAGGUUUGGCGCUUGAAACUAUUUGACUUGAGUUUAGGAGAGGAGAGUGGAAUUCCCAGUGUAGCGGUGAAAUGCGUAGAUAUUGGGAGGAACACCGGUGGCGAAGGCGGCUCUCUGGACUAAUACUGACGCUGAGGCGCGAAAGCUAGGGGAGCAAACAGGAUUAGAUACCCGGGUAGUCC
rnacentral:rRNA from 1 species